rnacentral:rRNA from 1 species
AACGAACGCUGGCGGCAUGCCUAACACAUGCAAGUCGAACGAAGUCUUCGGACUUAGUGGCGCACGGGUGCGUAACGCGUGGGAAUCUGCCCUUGGGUGCGGAAUAACUUCUCGAAAGGGAUGCUAAUACCGCAUAAUGUCGUAAGACCAAAGAUUUAUCGCCCAAGGAUGAGCCCGCGUAAGAUUAGCUAGUUGGUGGGGUAAAAGCCUACCAAGGCGACGAUCUUUAGCUGGUCUGAGAGGAUGAUCAGCCACACUGGGACUGAGACACGGCCCAGACUCCUACGGGAGGCAGCAGUGGGGAAUAUUGGACAAUGGGCGAAAGCCUGAUCCAGCAAUGCCGCGUGAGUGAUGAAGGCCCUAGGUGUAAGACUCUUUACCUAGGGAGUGAUAAUGACAGUACCUGGAGAAUAAAGCUCCGGCUAACUCCGUGCCAGCAG